GCCGAGGUAGCUCAGUUGGUAGAGCAGGGGACUGAAAAUCCCCGUGUGGGGGGUUCAAUUCCCUCCCUCGGCA
rnacentral:tRNA from 1 species